rnacentral:rRNA from 1 species
ACGUAGGGGGCAAGCGUUGUCCGGAAUUAUUGGGCGUAAAGGGUGCGUAGGCGGCCUUUCAAGUCGGAUGUGAAAUCCCAUGCUUAACAUGGGAAAUGCAUGCAAAACUGUAGGACUUGAGUGUGGGAGAGGUAAGUGGAAUUCCCAGUGUAGCGGUGAAAUGCUUAGAUCUUGGGAGGACCACCAGUGGCGAAGGCGACUUACUGGACCGCAACUGACGGUGAGGCACGAAAGCGUGGGGAGCAAACAG